rnacentral:rRNA from 1 species
UGCAAGUCGAGCGGAUGAAGGGAGCUUGCUCCUGGAUUCAGCGGCGGACGGGUGAGUAAUGCCUAGGAAUCUGCCUGGUAGUGGGGGAUAACGUCCGGAAACGGGCGCUAAUACCGCAUACGUCCUGAGGGAGAAAGUGGGGGAUCUUCGGACCUCACGCUAUCAGAUGAGCCUAGGUCGGAUUAGCUAGUUGGUGGGGUAAAGGCCUACCAAGGCGACGAUCCGUAACUGGUCUGAGAGGAUGAUCAGUCACACUGGAACUGAGACACGGUCCAGACUCCUACGGGAGGCAGCAGUGGGGAAUAUUGGACAAUGGGCGAAAGCCUGAUCCAGCCAUGCCGCGUGUGUGAAGAAGGUCUUCGGAUUGUAAAGCACUUUAAGUUGGGAGGAAGGGCAGUAAGUUAAUACCUUGCUGUUUUGACGUUACCAACAGAAUAAGCACCGGCUAACUUCGUGCCAGCAGCCGCGGUAAUACGAAGGGUGCAAGCGUUAAUCGGAAUUACUGGGCGUAAAGCGCGCGUAGGUGGUUCAGCAAGUUGGAUGUGAAAUCCCCGGGCUCAACCUGGGAACUGCAUCCAAAACUACUGAGCUAGAGUACGGUAGAGGGUGGUGGAAUUUCCUGUGUAGCGGUGAAAUGCGUAGAUAUAGGAAGGAACACCAGUGGCGAAGGCGACCACCUGGACUGAUACUGACACUGAGGUGCGAAAGCGUGGGGAGCAAACAGGAUUAGAUACCCUGGUAGUCCACGCCGUAAACGAUGUCGACUAGCCGUUGGGAUCCUUGAGAUCUUAGUGGCGCAGCUAACGCGAUAAGUCGACCGCCUGGGGGAGUACGGCCGCAAGGUUAAAACUCAAAUGAAUUGACGGGGGCCCGCACAAGCGGGGGAGCAUGUGGGUUAAUUCGAAGCAACGCGAAGAACCUUACCUGGCCUUGACUGCUGAGAACUUUCCAGAGAUGGAUUGGUGCCUUCGGGAACUCAGACCAGGGGGUGGAUGGCUGUCGCAGCUCGGGCCGGGAAAGGUGGGUAAGUCCCGAACGAAGGAACCCUGGCCUAAGUACCACCCCCGGGGGGCACCUAAGAAAUGCCGGGAAACCGAAGAAGGGGGGAAAGCCUAACUCCUUGCCCUUAUGCCAGGUUCCCCGGUAAAGUGCGAGAAAGG